rfam:Blastocystis hominis, Singapore isolate B (sub-type 7) whole genome shotgun sequence assembly, scaffold_23
GGUCAUGUGGCGCAAUGGAUAGCGCGUUGGACUUCGGAUCCAGAGGUUGUGGGUUCGAGUCCCACCUUGAUCG